CCUACGGGCGGCAGCAGUGAGGAAUAUUGGUCAAUGGACGAGAGUCUGAACCAGCCAAGUAGCGUGAAGGAUGACUGCCCUAUGGGUUGUAAACUUCUUUUAUAUGGGAAUAAAAUGUUCCACGUGUGGGAUUUUGUAUGUACCAUAUGAAUAAGGAUCGGCUAACUCCGUGCCAGCAGCCGCGGUAAUACGGAGGAUCCGAGCGUUAUCCGGAUUUAUUGGGUUUAAAGGGAGCGUAGGUGGAUUGUUAAGUCAGUUGUGAAAGUUUGCGGCUCAACCGUAAAAUUGCAGUUGAAACUGGCAGUCUUGAGUACGGUAGAGGUGGGCGGAAUUCGUGGUGUAGCGGUGAAAUGCUUAGAUAUCACGAAGAACUCCGAUUGCGAAGGCAGUUCACUGGACUGCAACUGACACUGAGGCUCGAAAGUGUGGGUAUCAAACAGGAUUAGAUACCCGAGUAGUC
rnacentral:rRNA from 1 species